rnacentral:rRNA from 1 species
AGAGUUUGAUCAUGGCUCAGAUUGAACGCUGGCGGCAGGCCUAACACAUGCAAGUCGAACGGUAACAGGAAGUGCUUGCACUUCGCUGACGAGUGGCGGACGGGUGAGUAAUGCUUGGGAACUUGCCUUUGCGAGGGGGAUAACAGUUGGAAACGACUACUAAUACCGCAUAAUGUCUACGGACCAAACGGGGCUUAGGCUCCGGCGCAAAGAGAGGCCCAAGUGAGAUUAGCUAGUUGGUAAGGUAAAGGCUUACCAAGGCAACGAUCUCUAGCUGUUCUGAGAGGAAGAUCAGCCACACUGGAACUGAGACACGGUCCAGACUCCUACGGGAGGCAGCAGUGGGGAAUAUUGCACAAUGGGGGAAACCCUGAUGCAGCCAUGCCGCGUGUGUGAAGAAGGCCUUCGGGUUGUAAAGCACUUUCAGUUGUGAGGAAAAGUUAGUAGUUAAUACCUGCUAGCCGUGACGUUAACAACAGAAGAAGCACCGGCUAACUCCGUGCCAGCAGCCGCGGUAAUACGGAGGGUGCGAGCGUUAAUCGGAAUUACUGGGCGUAAAGCGCACGCAGGCGGUUUGUUAAGCUAGAUGUGAAAGCCCCGGGCUCAACCUGGGAUGGUCAUUUAGAACUGGCAGACUAGAGUCUUGGAGAGGGGAGUGGAAUUCCAGGUGUAGCGGUGAAAUGCGUAGGUAUCUGGAGGAACAUCAGUGGCGAAGGCGACUCCCUGGCCAAAGACUGACGCUCAUGUGCGAAAGUGUGGGUAGCGAACAGGAUUAGAUACCCUGGUAGUC